rnacentral:rRNA from 1 species
AUGCCAUUAAAAUUCUGGGAUGAAGCCUUUCUCACCACAGUUCAUCUUAUUAAUAUUCUUCCCAGUAGAGUCAUCAACAAUGAAACUCCGGUAGAACGCCUUCUUCACACCAAACCCGAUUACAAAUCCCUCCGAGUGUUUGGCUGUGCGUGCUGGCCAAAUCUUCGUCCCUACAACAAUCGCAAGCUCCUUUUCCGGUCAAAACAAUGUGUCUUCAUUGGCUAUAGUCCACAACAUAAAGGUGUCAAGUGCCUUGAUAUAUCCAUGGGUCGUGUCUAUAUAUCCCGUGAUGUUGUGUUCGACGAGACUGUUUUUUCCUUUGCACAUCUUCACCCAAACGCCGGCGCUCUCCUCCAAAAGGAAAUCCUUCUUCUUCCAUCUCAUCUCACUGGGUUUGAUAAUGGGGAUGGUUUUACUACUAAUGAUCAAUUAUUGACUAAUUCUCCUACUAAUGGUGGUGAUGAGUUUUGUGAUGAAGCAGAAAAAAAUGGGACAGAAAAUGAUGAAGAAAUCAGCCAAAACUGUCAUUUUAUGCCUAGUGGGUGCAGCAGCAGCGCCAUCGAGGCGGAUCCGCCUCGGGAUCAGGGUGCAUCAGCCGUGGGAUCCGAGCGUGACGGGACAGACGAAUCUGCACCGAGCCCCGCGCCACGCCACGACAGCCGCGGUCCCGCGCCACGCCACGACAGCAGCGGCCCAGCCAAUCAUGGCGCGCCCGCGCGGAUGGACCACGCGCCGCCUGCGGCCGGUUGGUUCGGCCCCGAACCGCGUCACUACACGCGGCGCGCGUCUCGGCAGGAUCUGGGCGUGGAGUCCCGCGCCGCAUCUACGGGGGCCCACUCAUCAUCGCCCCAUCAUGAGCCGGACGCGGCGACUGGCACAGCUGCGGGAUCUUCUGUGCCGCCAUCCUCCAGUACUUCACGCUCUCUGGCCGCAGAAGAUCUUGUCUCGUUGCUCGCGCCUGUAGCACCCGACAGGUCGUCUUCGGGAUCUGCAGCUGUUCCAGGCGCCGGAUCCUCUGUGCUUGCCUCUUCGCCAGCUCAGACCAGACUUCAAAGGGGAGUAAUUCAACCCAAAAACUACAAACAUAUAGCAAAAUUUGGCUAUGCUUGUAACACACAUGAUGCAGAUACUGUUCCACAUACUGUAGCAGAAGCUUUGAAUGAUCCAAGGUGGAAAAAGGCCAUGGAAGAAGAGUGCGUGGCGCUUCACAAAAAUAAAACCUGGCAUUUAGUAUCUGCACAUCAAGGAAAAGGUAAAAAUGUGAUAGAUUGUAAAUGGGUUUUCAGAGUAAAGAAGAAGUCUGAUGGAACUAUUGAUCGCUACAAAGCCAGACUAGUUGCAAAAGGUUUUAAACAAAGGUAUGGCUUAGACUAUGAGGACACAUUUAGUCCGGUUGUAAAGGCUGCCACUAUUCGCCUUGUUUUGUCUAUUGCCAUGUCUAGGGGAUGGAGUCUCCGUCAGCUAGAUGUUCAGAACGCGUUUCUCCAUGGUGUUCUGGAAGAGGAAGUGUUCAUGCAACAACCUCCUGGGUUUGAGGACAAAAGUAAACCCCUUCACAUUUGCAAGCUUGAUAAGGCCUUGUAUGGUUUAAAACAAGCCCCCAGAGCAUGGUAUUCCAGGUUGAGCUCAAAACUUCAGGCACUUGGUUUUGCUCCUUCCAAAUCUGACACCUCAUUGUUCAUUUAUAAUAAGUCAAAUACCUCCAUAUUUGUCAUUAUAUAUGUUGAUGAUAUUAUAGUCACAAGUUCAUCAGAUGAGGCUGUCACAGGAUUGUUAAAAGAUUUAAAUUCAGAAUUUGCUCUCAAGGAUCUGGGAGACCUGCAUUAUUUUCUUGGCAUUGAAGUAAAGAGAGCAGGAAAUGACCUCUAUCUUACUCAAGAAAAGUAUGCCACUGAUCUUGUAGCCAAAGCAGGGUUGAAAGGUUGCAAGCCAGCAUUGACACCUUUGUCCAGCUCAGAAAAAUUGUCCUUGUCAGAAGGAGAACUCUUGAACCAAGAGGAUAGCACCAGGUACAGAAGUAUGGUUGGUGCAUUACAAUAUUUAACCUUGACUAGGCCUGAUAUUUCUUUUGCUGUGAACAAAGUAUGUCAGUUCCUUCAUGCACCUACUACAGUACACUUGACAGCUGCCAAAUGCAUACUUAGAUAUGUUAAAAAUACUUUGAGUAUUGGACUAACUUUCAGCAAGUCACCA